CUGAGAGAAAUAAAACUAUUUUAACUAAAAAAAAAAAAAUGGAGUUGAACAUGCAGGCUGAAGGAGAGGAGAAGGGGGAAGAAGUGAUGGGCAGGAGGAGCAUCUGAGCCCAGAAGCCCGGCCAGCCUGGAAGCAUGCUCAGCGGGCCUGGCCAGCACACGGAGCAGUGGAGUGAGAGCUGAACUAGAAAGACUAGUGAGGGUUGGAUCACAGCAGAACUUGCCAGCCACACUUAGAAGCUUCAAACCUAUUUGAGAACCAACUGGGAGCCACUGAAGGGUGUUAAGCAGAGGAGGGAGUGAUAUUUCCCACAUGUGGAGGUGGCAAUUGCAUGGCGAGUGGGUUAGAGCAGAGUGGGGAUGGUACAUGGGAUAUGUGAAGGCUCCAAAAGGACGAGUAAAACAGUUUGGAAGCCACUGGCCUCGACCAUGUGAGAGGGUGGCAAUAAGCAUCUUAAGAGGAGAGAGAAAAUGAGCAAGUGAGAGAAAGAGAGAGAGCACAAGCAGGGGAGCGGCAGGCAGAGGCAGAG